rnacentral:rRNA from 1 species
AUGAGGGCUUUAUUCUGGAAUAUUAGAGGGUUCGGUGCUAGGGGGCGCCGCGGCCAACUCAAAGAUCUGGUUCGCUCUAACUCUAUUGACUUCGUGGGGUUGGUUGAAACUUUUAAGGAAUCGUUUUCCCCUAAUGAACUCUCUGCUAUCGUGGGCAUGGACAGAUUCAAUUGGCACACGUUACCUGCUUCGGGUCACUCGGGUGGGAUCUUGAUAGGCUUUAAUAAAGAUAUUUUUGAUUUUGUUGCGUUUGAUCAUGGGAUUUUUUGGGCUAGUUCUGUACUUUGUCAUAAAGCCAUGAAUAUCCUCUGCGAGUUUAUCGUCGUUUAUGGGCCGGCGGAUCAUUCUUUGUCUCCUUUAUUUCUUAAUGAGCUUUCUGUGAAGAUCGAAUCCUGCAAUCUCCCGAUGGUUAUCGGGGGAGACUUUAAUCUUCUGUGGUUUCCUUCUGAUAAAAAUAAUAAUAUCUUUUCCUGGCCUCUAGCUAAUGCUUUUAAUGACUUCAUCAGUGUCAGUGCUAUUCGUGAGCUUCCCCGGGGCGGAGCUCGUUAUACCUGGUCCAAUCAUUAG